rnacentral:tRNA from 1 species
ACUUAAAUAGCUUAAUUUUUAGAGUAUUAUAUUGAAGAUAUAGGGGUAAUUUUAUAAUUUUUAAGUA